GACGAACCGUACGAACGUUAUUCGGAAUUACUGGGCUUAAAGGGUUUGUAGGCGGCCUUGUAAGUCAGGUGUGAAAUCCCUCGGCUCAACCGAGGAAUGGCGCUUGAUACUGCAAGGCUUGAGGGAGACAGGGGUAAGCGGAACUGAUGGUGGAGCGGUGAAAUGCGUUGAUAUCAUCAGGAACACCGGUGGCGAAAGCGGCUUACUGGGUCUCUUCUGACGCUGAGGAACGAAAGCUAGGGUAGCGAACGGGG
rnacentral:rRNA from 1 species